CCUACGGGAGGCAGCAGUGGGGAAUAUUGCACAAUGGGGGAAACCCUGAUGCAGCAACGCCGCGUGAGCGAAGAAGGCCUUCGGGUCGUAAAGCUCUGUUGUUAGGGAAGAAUAAGUACCGGAGUAACUACCGGUACCGUGACGGUACCUAACCAGAAAGCCACGGCUAACUACGUGCCAGCAGCCGCGGUAAUACGUAGGUGGCAAGCGUUGUCCGGAAUUAUUGGGCGUAAAGCGCGCGCAGGCGGUUCCUUAAGUCUGAUGUGAAAGGCUACGGCUCAACCGUAGUAAGCCUUUGAAACUGUAUGGCUUGAGUGCAGGAGAGGAGAGUGGAAUUCCCAGUGUAGCGGUGAAAUGCGUAGAUAUUGGGAGGAACACCAGUUGCGAAGGCGGCUCUCUGGACUGUAACUGACGCUGAGGCACGAAAGCGUGGGGAGCGAACAGGAUUAGAUACCCCUGUAGUC
rnacentral:rRNA from 1 species